rnacentral:rRNA from 1 species
UACGUAGGGGGCGAGCGUUUGUCCGGAGUACUGGGCGUAAAGCGCACGCAGGCGGUCUGUUAAGUUUGGAGUGACAGUUGGUGGCUCAACCACCAAAGUGCUUUGAAAACUGAUAGACUUGAGGGCUUCAGAGGGACACGGAAUUCCGGGUGGAGUGGUGAAAUGCGUGAGAGAUCCGGAGGAACACCAAGGCGAAGGCAGUGUCCCUGGGGAGUACC